UAAGGAAUAUUGGUCAAUGGACGCAAGUCUGAACCAGCCAUGCCGCGUGAAGGAUUAAGGUCCUCUGGAUUGUAAACUUCUUUUAUCUGGGACGAAAAAAGGCGAUUCUUCGUCACUUGACGGUACCAGAUGAAUAAGCACCGGCUAACUCCGUGCCAGCAGCCGCGGUAAUACGGAGGGUGCAAGCGUUAUCCGGAUUCACUGGGUUUAAAGGGUGCGUAGGCGGGCAGGUAAGUCAGUGGUGAAAUCCUAGAGCUUAACUCUAGAACUGCCAUUGAUACUAUCUGUCUUGAAUAUUGUGGAGGUAAGCGGAAUAUGUCAUGUAGCGGUGAAAUGCUUAGAUAUGACAUAGAACACCUAUUGCGAAGGCAGCUUACUACGCAUAUAUUGACGCUGAGGCACGAAAGCGUGGGGAUCAAACAGGAUUAGAUACCCACGUAGUCCCUGAGCGGGCUGGCAAGGCGCAU
rnacentral:rRNA from 1 species